rnacentral:rRNA from 1 species
UACGUAGGGUCCGAGCGUUGUUCGGAAUUACUGGGCGUAAAGAGCUCGUAGGUGGUUGUCGCGUUGUUCGUGAAACUCACAGCUCAACUGUGGGCGUGCGGCGAUACGGGCAGACUAGAGUACUGCAGGGAGACUGGGAAUUCCUGGUGUAGCGGUGAAAUGCGUAGAUAUCAGGAGGAACACCGGUGGUGUAGACGGCUCACUGGACCGUAACUGACGCUGAGACACGAAAGCGUGGGUAGCAAACAGG